rnacentral:snRNA from 1 species
GUGCUCUCUUCAGCACACAUAUAUGAAAAUUGGAAUGAUACGGAAAAGGUUAGCAUGGCCCCUGUGCAAGCAUGACAUGCAAAUUUGUGAAGUGUUCCAAAUUUAA